rnacentral:rRNA from 1 species
CCAGACUCCUACGGGAGGCAGCAGUGGGGAAUAUUGCACAAUGGGGGGAACCCUGAUGCAGCGACGCCGCGUGGGUGAAGGAGCACCUCGGUGCGUAAAGCCCUAUCGGCAGGGAAGAAAAUGACGGUACCUGAAGAAGAAGCCCCGGCUAACUACGUGCCAGCAGCCGCGGUAAUACGUAGGGGGCAAGCGUUAUCCGGAUUUACUGGGUUUAAAGGGAGCGUAGGCGGGCCGGAAAGUCAGGGGUAAAAACCGGGGGCCAAACCCCGGAGAGCCGUUGAAACUGUCGGACUAGAGACGGCGAGAAGUACGCGGAAUGCGCGGUGUAGCGGUGAAAUGCAUAGAUAUCGCGCAG